UAGAGAUGAAAAAAAAUGUUCCAAGGGGGAAAAAAAAACAUUAUUGGCAAUCUAUUAGAAAGAGAUUAGAGCACCACCUAUGCUCAUAAAUUUAGCACUGUAAUAAUACAGGUAUUAUGUUCUGCAGCUUACAUGAAGCCAAUUGAUUCAGGAAAAGACCCACAAACAAUAAAGAAUCGUCUACCUGGAUAACCACUUGUUGAAAGCAUGUAACAAGUUCAGCAGCAGACAACACAUAAUUAGGAGCUGAUGAUUACAACAUGUGGUAGCUAAAGAGGAAAAAUUUUGAACUUUUAAAGAAACGAAAAAAAACAACCAAAUACAUAUUAAAAUUUGUGACCCUUAUUCCAUUGGAUUUUUACUCACAACCCGCCUUUCUAUCACAGGUUAAAGCCCCAAAAGUUCUUGACUAACUUCAUUAGAGUUAUAAAAUGAGAAGAAAAUCAAAUUUGGACAAGGCCGAUUAAAUGAUCCAAUAGAAAGGGCCUGUAUAUGAACAAUCCUUAGCAUAAUAAACAGCUGUUUAAGGUCAUUUUAUUGGAAGGAACACAAUAGCUAUUAUGUGGCUUGCGACGCAACACAUAAACAUUGUAAAUAAAACCAGAUCUCAUAAUUAUACAACAUCGCAAUUCUCAUCCAAAGUGAAGGAUAAAGAAGAAAGAUCAAACGAAAUGAGACCAAAUUAUAAUACCAAAGAAAAAAAAAA
rnacentral:misc_RNA from 1 species